UACGUAGGGGGCAAGCGUUGUCCGGAAUCAUUGGGCGUAAAGAGCGUGUAGGCGGUCCGGUAAGUCGGCUGUGAAAAUCCAGGGCUCAACCCUGGGAUGCCGGUCGAUACUGCCGGACUAGAGUUCGGAAGAGGCGAGUGGAAUUCCCGGUGUAGCGGUGAAAUGCGCAGAUAUCGGGAGGAACACCUAUGGCGAAGGCAGCUCGCUGGGACGUUACUGACGCUGAGACGCGAAAGCGUGGGGAGCAAACAGG
rnacentral:rRNA from 1 species